AUUGAACGCUGGCGGUAGGCCUAACACAUGCAAGUCGAACGCGAAAGUCCUUCGAGAUGAGUAGAGUGGCGGACGGGUGAGUAACGCGUAGGAAUCUAUCCUGUAGUGGGGGAUAACGUUUCGAAAGGAACGCUAAUACCGCAUACGCCCCAAGGGGGAAAGCGGGGGAUCUUCGGACCUCGUGCUAUAGGAGGAGCCUGCGUCGGAUUAGCUAGUUGGUGAGGUAAAGGCUCACCAAGGCGACGAUCCGUAGCUGGUCUGAGAGGAUGAUCAGCCAAACCGGAACUGAGACACGGUCCGGACUCCUACGGGAGGCAGCAGUGGGGAAUAUUGCGCAAUGGGCGAAAGCCUGACGCAGCCAUACCGCGUGUGUGAAGAAGGCCUUCGGGUUGUAAAGCACUUUCAGUGGGGAGGAAAAGCUGGUGGCUAAUAUCCAUCGGCCGUGACGCUACCCACAGAAGAAGCACCGGCUAAUUCCGUGCCAGCCGCCGCGGUAAAAC
rnacentral:rRNA from 1 species